rnacentral:rRNA from 1 species
UACAGAGGGUGCAAGCGUUAAUCGGAAUUACUGGGCGUAAAGCGCACGUAGGUGGUUUUGUAAGUUGAAUGUGAAAGCCCCGGGCUUAACCUGGGAAUUGCAUCCAAAACUGCACGACUAGAGUAUGGGAGAGGGAGGUAGAAUUCCAGGUGUAGCGGUGAAAUGCGUAGAGAUCUGGAGGAAUACCGGUGGCGAAGGCGGCCUCCUGGCCUAAUACUGACACUGAGGUGCGAAAGCGUGGGUAGCAAACAGG